rnacentral:rRNA from 1 species
ACGGGUGAGUAACACGUGAGUAACCUGCCCUUGACUCUGGGAUAAGCCUGGGAAACUGGGUCUAAUACCGGAUAUGACUCCUCAUCGCAUGGUGGGGGGUGGAAAGCUUUUGUGGUUUUGGAUGGACUCGCGGCCUAUCAUCUUGUUGGUGGGGUAAUGGCCUACCAAGGCGACGACGGGUAGCCGGCCUGAGAGGGUGACCGGCCACACUGGGACUGAGACACGGCCCAUACUCCUACGGGAGGCAGCAGUGGGGAAUAUUGCACAAUGGGCGCAAGCCUGAUGCAGCGACGCCGCGUGAGGGAUGACGGCCUUCGGGUUGUAAACCUCUUUCAGUAGGGAAGAAGCGUAAGUGACGGUACCUGCAGAAGAAUCGCCGGCUAACUACUUGCCAGCAGCCGCGGUAAUACGUAGGGCGCAAGCGUUAUCCGGAAUUAUUGGGCGUAAAGAGCUCGUAUGCGGUUUGUCGCGUCUGCUGUGAAAGACCGGGGCUCAACUCCGGUUCUGCAGUGGGUACGGGCAGACUAUAGUGCAGUACGGGAGACUGGAAUUCCUGGUGUAGCGGUGAAAUGCGCAGA